UGCAACCUCCCUGCCUGAUUCUCCCUCAGCCUGCCGAGUGCCUGCGAUUGCAGGCGCGCGCCGCCACGCCUGACUGUGAGACUGAGACUCCGUCUAAAAAAAAAAAAAAAGAGGUGAUUUAGGCAGAAAAUACUUUCAAGAAAGGUUUAAGUGAAUCUUGAGUGUGAAGUCAAUAGUGGGGAAUGGAAGCCAAUUAGGAACAAAGGUUGAGGAUAACCAGUCUGUCCGCCAAAUCCUGCCAGCAUCCUGGGCUGGGUACACUAGAAAUCCUUGUGGCUCAUGUAAUCCACUAGUAAGAAAGGUCAAAGACAAUAGUCUUGCUUUAGUAGUUCAAAGCUUUCUGACCUCCGUAACAUGAGAGUCCAUGAUUUUCUUAGGCUCAGGAGGGUGGGGAGAACGUUGGCUGAAUAAAUUAUCUCCUCAUGCUAGUACGCCUUUGAGAACAGUUAAAACCUGCCAUCUGCAAGCACUGAGGGUUCUCUAGAGUUAUUCUGACAUUGGGACAAGAAGCCUUUAGAACCUGGGGACAAAGGAGCCAUCAGAAGACCUGAAGAAGAACCUGAGACUGUGGACAAAUACAGGGGCUCAAAAUAAAACCCAUCUCUAAACAACAGGAAGCCAGAGGAGAUGGCUAUGUUUGUUCUAUGAACUUUCUUGCAAGCCUCCUCACAAUCACCUCUAGUC
rnacentral:lncRNA from 1 species